UCCUCACCCCCGCCGCCGACGCCUCCCUGCCCCCCCGACUGGCCGUCCUUUUCACCGGUGCAAAGGCGGGGGCCCGACCGACCUAUCGAAGUGCGCGAACAGCGCGGAGGUUGGGGGGUCGUAAUCCAGAGGGCCUUCCCUUUCACGCUUUGCCUCCUCUCGCCUCCGGGAGAGAAAGACGACGGCGACGAAGAACAACAUGACUACAAUCGCCGUCCCUUUCAUUCCCUUCCCUGCCGCGCUUUUCCUGUCGGAUCCGAGCUCUCAACGGCCAUGAUCAGAUCCCCUACAACCUCCCUUUUGCUCUCUGCUCUUCGUCUUCUACCUCGCCUCGGC
rnacentral:lncRNA from 1 species